rnacentral:rRNA from 1 species
UACGUAGGGGGCAAGCGUUGUCCGGAUUUAUUGGGCGUAAAGAGCGUGUAGGCGGCCAUACAGGUCAGCUGUGAAAACUCGAGGCUCAACCUCGAGACGUCGGUUGAAACCGUAUGGCUAGAGUCCGGAAGAGGAGAGUGGAAUUCCCGGUGUAGCGGUGAAAUGCGCAGAUAUCGGGAAGAACACCCGUGGCGAAGGCGGUCUGCUGGGCAGUUGCUGACACUGAGGCGCGACAGCGUGGGGAGCAAACAGGG